rnacentral:rRNA from 1 species
GUCAGCAGCCGCGGGAACACCGGCGGCCCGAGUGGUGAUCGUGAUUAUUGGGUCUAAAGGGUCCGUAGCCGGUUUGGUCAGUCCUCCGGGAAAUCUGAUAGCUCAACUAUUAGGCUUUCGGGGGAUACUGCCAGACUUGGAACCGGGAGAGGUAAGAGGUACUACAGGGGUAGGAGUGAAAUCUUGUAAUCCCUGUGGGACCACCUGUGGCGAAGGCGUCUUACCAGAACGGGUUCGACGGUGAGGGACGAAAGCUGGGGGCACGAACCGGAUUAGAUACCCGGGUAGUCCCAGCCGUAAACGAUGCUCGCUAGGUGUCAGGCAUGGCGCGACCGUGUCUGGUGCCGCAGGGAAGCCGUGAAGCGAGCCACCUGGGAAGUACGGCCGCAAGGCUGAAACUUAAAGGAAUUGGCGGGGGAGCACAACAACGGGUGGAGCCCUGCGGUUUAAUUGGACUCAACGCCGGACAACUCACCGGGGGCGACAGCAAUAUGUAGGCCAAGCUGAAGACUUUGCCUGAAUCGCUGAGAAGAGGUGCAUGG